rnacentral:rRNA from 1 species
UAACGAAUAUUCCGCAAUGGGCGAAAGCCUGACGGAGCGACGCCGCGUGUGGGAGGAAGCCCUUCGGGGUGUAAACCACUGUCAGGGAUUACCAAGCAAAGUUGGCGAAUAGCCUUCUGCGUUGAGGCGUCCCAGAGGAAGCCACGGCUAACUUCGUGCCAGCAGCCGCGGUAAUACGAAGGUGGCGAGCGUUGUUCGGAAUCACUGGGCUUAAAGGGCACGCAGGCGGACUGUCAAGCGUCUUGUGAAAGCCCCCGGCUUAACCGGGGAAUUGCUGGGCGAACUGGCAGUCUUGAGGCAGGUAAGGGCGAGUGGAACUCUUGGUGGAGCGGUGGAAUGCGUAGAUAUCAAGAGGAACGCCGGAGGCGAAAGCGACUCGCUGGGCCUGACCUGACGCUGAGGUGCGAAAGCCAGGGGAGCGAACG